AAUAGAUACCCGGGUAGUCCACGCCGUAAACGAUGAGUGCUAAGUGUUGGGGGGGUUUCCGCCCCUCAGUGCUGCAGCUAACGCAUUAAGCACUCCGCCUGGGGGAGUACGGCCGCAAGGCUGAAACUCAAAGGAAUUGACGGGGGCCCGCACAAGCGGUGGAGCAUGUGGUUUAAUUCGAAGCAACGCGAAAAGAACCUUACCAGGUCUUGACAUCCCGCUGCCCGGUAUAGAGAUAUACCUUUCCCUUCGGGGACAGCGGUGACAGGUGGUGCAUGGUUGUCGUCAGCUCGUGUCGUGAGAUGUUGGGUUAAGUCCCGCAACGAGCGCAACCCUUGAUCUUAGUUGCCAGCAUUUAGUUGGGCACUCUAAGGUGACUGCCGGUGACAAACCGGAGGAAGGUGGGGAUGACGUCAAAUCAUCAUGCCCCUUAUGACCUGGGCUACACACGUGCUACAAUGGAUGGUACAAAGGGCUGCAAGACCGCGAGGUUUAGCCAAUCCCAUAAAACCAUUCUCAGUUCGGAUUGCAGGCUGCAACCG
rnacentral:rRNA from 1 species